rnacentral:rRNA from 1 species
GAAAGGCGAAAAGAACCCCGGCGAGGGGAGUGAAAAAGAACCUGAAACCGUGUACGUACAAGCAGUGGGAGCCUCUUUAUGGGGUGACUGCGUACCUUUUGUAUAAUGGGUCAGCGACUUAUAUUCUGUAGCAAGGUUAACCGAAUAGGGGAGCCGAAGGGAAACCGAGUCUUAACUGGGCGUUAAGUUGCAGGGUAUAGACCCGAAACCCGGUGAUCUAGCCAUGGGCAGGUUGAAGGUUGGGUAACACUAACUGGAGGACCGAACCGACUAAUGUUGAAAAAUUAGCGGAUGACUUGUGGCUGGGGGUGAAAGGCCAAUCAAACCGGGAGAUAGCUGGUUCUCCCCGAAAGCUAUUUAGGUAGCGCCUCGUGAAUUCAUCUCCGGGGGUAGAGCACUGUUUCGGCAAGGGGGUCAUCCCGACUUACCAACCCGAUGCAAACUGCGAAUACCGGAGAAUGUUAUCACGGGAGACACACGGCGGGUGCUAACGUCCGUCGUGAAGAGGGAAACAACCCAGACCGCCAGCUAAGGUCCCAAAGUCAUGGUUAAGUGGGAAACGAUGUGGGAAGGCCCAGACAGCCAGGAUGUUGGCUUAGAAGCAGCCAUCAUUUAAAGAAAGCGUAAUAGCUCACUGGUCGAGUCGGCCUGCGCGGAAGAUGUAACGGGGCUAAACCAUGCACCGAAGCUGCGGCAGCGACACUAUGUGUUGUUGGGUAGGGGAGCGUUCUGUAAGCCUGCGAAGGU